AAUAGAUACCCGGGUAGUCCACGCCGUAAACGUUGGGCGCUAGGUGUGGGGACCGAUUCCACGGUUUCUGUGCCGCAGCUAACGCAUUAAGCGCCCCGCCUGGGGAGUACGGCCGCAAGGCUAAAACUCAAAGGAAUUAGACGGGGGCCCGCGACAAGCGGCGGAGCAUGUGGAUUAAUUCGAUGCAACGCGAAGAACCUUACCUGGGUUUGACAUGCACAGGAUUGCGGCAGAGAUGUCGUUUCCCUUGUGGCCUGUGUGCAGGUGGUGCAUGGCUGUCGUCAGCUCGUGUCGUGAGAUGUUGGGUUAAGUCCCGCAACGAGCGCAACCCUUGUUCCAUGUUGCCAGCACGUAGUGGUGGGGACUCAUGGGGAGACUGCCGGGGUCAACUCGGAGGAAGGUGGGGAUGACGUCAAGUCAUCAUGCCCCUUAUGUCCAGGGCUUCACACAUGCUACAAUGGCUCAUACAGAGGGCUGCGAGACCGUGAGGUGGAGCGAAUCCCUUAAAGUGAGU
rnacentral:rRNA from 1 species